GUCGAGAAUCUUCCGCAAUGCGCGAAAGCGUGACGGAGCGACACCGCGUGAUGGAUGAAGUCCUUCGGGGCGUAAACAUCUUUUAUAAAGGAGGAAAUUUUUGACGUUACUUUAUGAAUAAGGGGCUCCCAAUCUCGUGCCAGCAGGAGCGGUAAUACGAGAGCCUCAAGCGUUAUCCGGAAUCAUUUGGCGUAAAGGGUGCGUAGGUGGUUUGAUUAGUCUCCCGUUAAAACUUCGAGCUUAACUCGAAAAGAGCGGGGGAAACGGUCAAACUAGAGUAUGUGAGAGGUGUGUGGAACUCAUGGUGUAGGGGUGAAAUCCGUUGAUAUCAUGGGGAACACCAAAAGCGAAGGCAGCACACUGGCACAUCACUGACACUGAGGCACGAAACCUAAGGUAGCGAAUGGGAUUAGAAACCCGAGUAGUCC
rnacentral:rRNA from 1 species